rnacentral:rRNA from 1 species
GAAGCGAACGCGGUGAACUGAAACAUCUAAGUAACCGCAGGAAAAGAAAUCAACCGAGAUUCCCAAAGUAGUGGCGAGCGAAAUGGGAUGAGCCUUGUACUCUUUAUUCGUAUUGUUAGCCGAACGCUCUGGAAAGUGCGGCCAUAGCAGGUGAUAGCCCUGUAGGCGAAAACAGUAUGAAAGAACUAGGUGUACGACAAGUAGGGCGGGACACGUGAAAUCCUGUCUGAAGAUGGGGGGACCAUCCUCCAAGGCUAAAUACUCGUGAUCGACCGAUAGUGAACCAGUACCGUGAGGGAAAGGCGAAAAGAACCCCGGGAGGGGAGUGAAAUAGAUCCUGAAACCGCAUGCAUACAAACAGUCGGAGCCUCGUAAGGGGUGACGGCGUACCUUUUGUAUAAUGGGUCAGCGACUUACGUUCAGUAGCAAGCUUAACCGUAUAGGGCAGGCGUAGCGAAAGCGAGUCCGAAUAGGGCGUUCAGUUGCUGGGCGUAGACCCGAAACCAGGUGAUCUAUCCAUGGCCAGGAUGAAGGUGCGGUAACACGUACUGGAGGUCCGAACCCACUAACGUUGAAAAGUUAGGGGAUGAGCUGUGGAUAGGGGUGAAAGGCUAAACAAACCUGGAAAUAGCUGGUUCUCUCCGAAAACUAUUUAGGUAGUGCCUCGUGUCUCACCUUCGGGGGUAGAGCACUGUCAUGGUUGGGGGGUCUAUUGCAGAUUACCCCGCCAUAGCAAACUCCGAAUACCGAAGAGUGCAAUCACGGGAGACAGACAUCGGGUGCUAACGUCCGGUGUCAAGAGGGAAACAACCCAGACCGCCAGCUAAGGUCCCCAAAUAUGGCUAAGUGGGAAACGAAGUGGGAAGGCUAAAACAGUCAGGAGGUUGGCUUAGAAGCAGCCACCCUUUAAAGAAAGCGUAAUAGCUCACUGAUCGAGUCGUCCUGCGCGGAAGAUGUAACGGGGCUAAGCCAUAUACCGAAGCUGCGGAUGCGUGCUUGCACGCAUGGUAGGAGAGCGUUCCGUAAGCCUGCGAAGGUGCCUUGUAAAGGGUGCUGGAGGUAUCGGAAGUGCGAAUGCUGACAUGAGUAGCGAUAAAGGGGGUGAAAGGCCCCCUCGCCGUAAGCCCAAGGUUUCCUACGCAACGUUCAUCGGCGUAGGGUGAGUCGGCCCCUAAGGCGAGGCAGAAAUGCGUAGCUGAUGGGAAGCAGGUCAAUAUUCCUGCACCGUCGUUAGAUGCGAUGGGGGGACGGAUCGCGGAAGGUUGUCCGGGUGUUGGACGUCCCGGUCGCUGCAUUGGAGAAGGCGCUUAGGCAAAUCCGGGCGCAGGAUUCAAGGGUGUGGCGCGAGCGACUUCGGUCGCGAAGCAAUUGGAAGUGGUUCCAAGAAAAGCCUCUAAGCUUCAGUCUAACGAUGACCGUACCGCAAACCGACACAGGUGGGCGAGAUGAGUAUUCUAAGGCGCUUGAGAGAACUCGGGAGAAGGAACUCGGCAAAUUGGUACCGUAACUUCGGGAUAAGGUACGCCCUUGUAGCUUGACCAGCCUGCGCUGGAAGGGUGAAGGGGUUGCAAUAAACUGGUGGCUGCGACUGUUUAAUAAAAACACAGCACUCUGCAAACACGAAAGUGGACGUAUAGGGUGUGACGCCUGCCCGGUGCCGGAAGAUUAAAUGAUGGGGUGCAAGCUCUUGAUUGAAGUCCCGGUAAACGGCGGCCGUAACUAUAACGGUCCUAAGGUAGCGAAAUUCCUUGUCGGGUAAGUUCCGACCUGCACGAAUGGCGUAACGAUGGCCACACUGUCUCCUCCCGAGACUCAGCGAAGUUGAAGUGUUUGUGAUGAUGCAAUCUACCCGCGGCUAGACGGAAAGACCCCAUGAACCUUUACUGUAGCUUUGCAUUGGACUUUGAACCGAUCUGUGUAGGAUAGGUGGGAGGCUAUGAAACCGGAACGCUAGUUUCGGUGGAGCCGUCCUUGAAAUACCACCCUGGUUUGUUUGAGGUUCUAACCUUGGUCCGUGAUCCGGAUCGGGGACAGUGCAUGGUAGGCAGUUUGACUGGGGCGGUCUCCUCCCAAAGGGUAACGGAGGAGUACGAAGGUACGCUAGGUACGGUCGGAAAUCGUGCUGAUAGUGCAAUGGCAUAAGCGUGCUUAACUGCGAGACCGACAAGUCGAGCAGGUGCGAAAGCAGGUCAUAGUGAUCCGGUGGUUCUGUAUGGAAGGGCCAUCGCUCAACGGAUAAAAGGUACUCUGGGGAUAACAGGCUGAUACCGCCCAAGAGUUCAUAUCGACGGCGGUGUUUGGCACCUCGAUGUCGGCUCAUCUCAUCCUGGGGCUGUAGCCGGUCCCAAGGGUAUGGCUGUUCGCCAUUUAAAGAGGUACGUGAGCUGGGUUUAAAACGUCGUGAGACAGUUUGGUCCCUAUCUGCCGUGGGCGUUGGAUAUUUGAAGGGGGCUGCUCCUAGUACGAGAGGACCGGAGUGGACGAACCUCUGGUGUACCGGUUGUGACGCCAGUCGCAUCGCCGGGUAGCUAUGUUCGGAAGAGAUAACCGCUGAAAGCAUCUAAGCGGGAAACUCGCCUUAAGAUGAGAUAUCCCUGGAGGCUUGACCUCCUUGAAGGGUCGUUCGAGACCAGGACGUUGAUAGGUCGGGUGUGUAAGCGCAGUAAUGCGUUCAGCUAACCGAUACUAAUUGCCCGUAAGGCUUGAUCCU